UACGUAGGGACCGAGCGUUGUCCGGAAUCAUUGGGCGUAAAGAGCGUGUAGGCGGCUAUUUAAGUCCUGCGUGAAAUCCUGCGGCUCAACCGCAGACGGUCGUGGGAAACUGGAUGGCUAGAGUGCGGGAGAGGAGAGUGGAAUUCCCGGUGUAGCGGUGAAAUGCGCAGAUAUCGGGAAGAACACCCGUGGCGAAGGCGGCUCUCUGGAACGCAACUGACGCUGAGACGCGAAAAGCGUGGGGAGCAAACAGGG
rnacentral:rRNA from 1 species